rnacentral:lncRNA from 1 species
UAUCUAAAAUUCAAAACUUAUAUUAUUCAUUAUUACAAUUAAUCAAUUAUCCAAAGAAAGUCGAAAGCAUUGUCUGUAAUAGAUAUUGAAAAAUCAAGAAUGAAAAUUGAACAGCGGGAUCUCUAGAACAAGGAAACAAGGAAGGGAAUACAGGGACUCAGUGACUCACUGCCACAGCGAAAAAAUCGAGCAGCCACUGGAGGCAUGACGGUAACAAAAUCGACGAGAAAAAGGCAAGGAAGGCGAAGAGAAGGUGAAAACAGAUCCAGGCGAUGCGAUGGAAUGGCUGGGCCGAUCUUCAUAUGUUGGCUGUUUGGGAGGGCAACGUGCUUUUGGUCCUGAAGAUGACAGAAGGCCAGAACACAGAAACUCAAAAUUAAUUGAACAACAAAAACUCAAAAAGAUUGAAGAACAAAAUUCCUCAGUAGUCAGUACUCAUCGCGGUAGAGCACAGAAGGCCAGAGCCAGACGACGACGCUUCGGUGACGGUGACGACAACAAGCUGACGACCACGAUGACGCCAAGCCGACGACCAGACGACGCCAACGCUUCGGUGACGGUGACGGUGAGGUUUCGACCCGCGACGGCUUCGUUUGAUGGUGGCCUUUGUACUUCGUAGGAAGAAGGUUG